rnacentral:tRNA from 1 species
GCCAGCGUAGCUCAGUCGGCAGAGCGGUCGCUUCGUAAGCGACAGGUCCCGGGUUCGAAUCCCGGCGCUGGCU